rnacentral:rRNA from 1 species
GACGAACGCUGGCGGCGUGCUUAACACAUGCAAGUCGAACGGAAAGGCCCUGCUUUUGUGGGGUGCUCGAGUGGCGAACGGGUGAGUAACACGUGAGUAACCUGCCCUUGACUUUGGGAUAACUUCAGGAAACUGGGGCUAAUACCGGAUAGGAGCUCCUGCUGCAUGGUGGGGGUUGGAAAGUUUCGGCGGUUGGGGAUGGACUCGCGGCUUAUCAGCUUGUUGGUGGGGUAGUGGCUUACCAAGGCUUUGACGGGUAGCCGGCCUGAGAGGAUGACCGGCCACAUUGGGACUGAGAUACGGCCCAGACUCCUACGGGAAGCAGCAGUGGGGAAUAUUGCACAAUGGGCGGAAGCCUGAUGCAGCAACGCCGCGUGCGGGAUGACGGCCUUCGGGUUGUAAACCGCUUUCGCCUGUGACGAAGCGUGAGUGACGGUAAUGGGUAAAGAAGCACCGGCUAACUACGUG